CCUACGGGUGGCAGCAGUGGGGAAUAUUGGGCAAUGGGCGCAAGCCUGACCCCGCAACGCCGCGUGAAGGAAGAAGGCUUUCGGGUUGUAAACUUCUUUUCUGGGGGACGAACAAAUGACGGUACCCCAUGAAUAAUCCACGGCUAACUACGUGCCAGCAGCCGCGGUAAUACGUAGGUGGCAAGCGUUAUCCGGAUUUAUUGGGGGUAAAGGGCGUGUAGGCGGGAAUGCAAGUCAGAUGUGAAAACUCAGGGAUCAACCCUGAGCCUGCAUUUGAAACUGUGUUUCUUGAGUGCUGGAGAGGCAAUCGGAAUUCCGGGUGUAGCGGUGAAAUGCGUAGAUAGACGGAGGAACACCAGUGGCGAAGGAGGAUUGCUGGACAGUAACUGACGCUGAGGCGCGAAAGCGUGGGGAGCAAACAGGAUUAGAUACCCUUGUAGUC
rnacentral:rRNA from 1 species